rnacentral:rRNA from 1 species
UACGUAGGGGGCAAGCGUUGUCCGGAAUUAUUGGGCGUAAAGGGCGCGUAGGCGGGUAUUUAAGUCCGGUGUGAAAGAUCAGGGCUCAACCCUGAGAGUGCAUCGGAAACUGGGUAUCUUGAGGACAGGAGAGGAAAGUGGAAUUCCACGUGUAGCGGUGAAAUGCGUAGAUAUGUGGAGGAACACCAGUGGCGAAGGCGACUUUCUGGACUGUAACUGACGCUGAGGCGCGAAAGCGUGGGGAGCAAACAGGGUAUAACCGG